ACGAACGCUUGCGGCGUGCUUAACCCAUGCAAGUCGAACGGAAAGGCCCUGCUUUUGUGGGGUGCUCGAGUGGCGAACGGGUGAGUAACACGUGAGUAACCUGCCCUUUACUUUGGGAUAACUUCAGGAAACUGGGGCUAAUACCGGAUAGGAGCCUCUUCUGCAUGGUGGGGGUUGGAAAGUUUCGGCGGUUGGGGAUGGACUCGCGGCUUAUCAGCUUGUUGGUGGGGUAGUGGCUUACCAAGGCUUUGACGGGUAGCCGGCCUGAGAGGGUGACCGGCCACAUUGGGACUGAGAUACGGCCCAGACUCCUACGGGAGGCAGCAGUGGGGAAUAUUGCACAAUGGGCGGAAGCCUGAUGCAGCAACGCCGCGUGCGGGAUGACGGCCUUCGGGUUGUAAACCGCUUUCGCCUGUGACGAAGCGUGAGUGACGGUAAUGGGUAAAGAAGCACCGGCUAACUACGUG
rnacentral:rRNA from 1 species